rnacentral:rRNA from 1 species
UACGUAGGGUGCAAGCGUUGUCCGGAAUUAUUGGGCGUAAAGAGCUCGUAGGCGGUUUGUCGCGUCUGCUGUGAAAACCCGAGGCUCAACCUCGGGCCUGCAGUGGGUACGGGCAGACUAGAGUGGCGGUAGGGGAGAUUGGAAUUCCUGGUGUAAGCGGUGGAAUGCGCAGAUAUCAGGAGGAACACCAAUGGCGAAGGCAGAUCUCUGGGCCGUAACUGACGCUGAGGAGCGAAAGCAUGGGGAGCGAACAGG